rnacentral:rRNA from 1 species
ACCAGACUCCUACGGGAGGCAGCAGUGGGGAAUAUUGCACAAUGGGGGGAACCCUGAUGCAGCGACGCCGCGUGGGCGAGGAAGUAUUUCGGUAUGUAAAGCCCUAUCGGCAGGGAAGAAGAAAUGACGGUACCUGAAUAAGAAGCACCGGCUAAAUACGUGCCAGCAGCCGCGGUAAUACGUAUGGUGCAAGCGUUAUCCGGAUUUACUGGGCGUAAAGGGAGCGCAGGCGGCGCGCCAAGUCUGAUGUGAAACCCCGGGGCUCAACCCCGGGCAUGCAUUGGAAACUGGCGGGCUGGAGUGCAGGAGGGGCAGGCGGAAUUCCUGGUGUAGCGGUGAAAUGCGUAGAUAUCAGGAGGAACACCGGUGGCGACGGCGGCCUGCUGGACUGCAACUGGCGUUGAGGCCCGAAAGCGUGGGGAGCAAACAGGAUUAGAUCCCCUUGUA